rnacentral:rRNA from 1 species
GAUGAACGCUGGCGGCGUGCCUAAUACAUGCAAGUCGAGCGAACGGACGAGAAGCUUGCUUUUCUGAUGUUAGCGGCGGACGGGUGAGUAACACGUGGAUAACCUACCUAUAAGACUGGGAUAACUUCGGGAAACCGGAGCUAAUACCGGAUAAUAUUUUGAACCGCAUGGUUCAAAAGUGAAAGACGGUCUUGCUGUCACUUAUAGAUGGAUCCGCGCUGCAUUAGCUAGUUGGUAAGGUAACGGCUUACCAAGGCAACGAUGCAUAGCCGACCUGAGAGGGUGAUCGCCCACACUGGAACUGAGACACGGUCAAGACUCCUACGGGAGGCAGCAGUAGGGAAUCUUCCGCAAUGGGCGAAAGCCUGACGGAGCAACGCCGCGUGAGUGAUGACGGUCUUCGGAUCGUAAAACUCUGUUAUUAGGGAAGAACAUAUGUGUACGUAACUGUGCACAUCUUGACGGUACCUAAUCAGAAAGCCACGGCUAACUACGUG